ACACCCACCUGCAUGUUGACCAGCCGGGCCCCCCCCCGGGGCUGGCGCAGGAGGAGCUGGGCCAGGCCGAGGUUCCCCCCCCUGACUGCGAUGUGCAGCGGGGUCAGGCUGCUCUUGGAGUCCUGUGGGGUGGGACGGAACUUGUGGGGCGCCCCAUAGGGACGGACAGACACAGGGAGACACAGAGACCCAUAGAGCACAAAGGAACCCCAUAGAGACUCAUAGGGACACAGAGAUUCCACAAAGACACAUAGAGACACCACUGGGACCCAUAAGAAGACAUAGAGACCCUAUAGAGACCCACAGAUCCCAUACAGACCCCAGAGACCCCAUAGAGACACACAGAGACCCCCAGAUCCCAUACAGACCCCAUAGGGGACACACAGACCCCAUACAGACCCCACAGACCCCAUAGGGACACACAGACCCCAUACAGACCCCACAGACCCCAUAGACCCUACAGACCCCAUACAGACCCCAUAGGGACACACAGACCCCAUACAGACCCCAUACAGACCCCACAGACCCCAUACAGACCCCAUAGGGUCACACAGACCCCAUACAGACCCCAUACAGACCCCAUACAGACCCCACAGACCCCAUAGGGUCCCACAGACCCCAUACAGACCCCAUAGGGUCCCACAGAGACCCACAGACCCCAUAGGGUCCCACAGAGCCCAUACAGACCCCAGAGACCCCAUAGGGACACACAGAGACCCACAGAUCCCAUACAGACCCCACAGACCCCAUAGGGACACACAGAGACCCCCAGAUCCCAUACAGACCCCAUAGGGUCACACAGAUCCCAUACUGACCCUACAGACCCCAUAGGGAGAAACAGAGACCCCCAGAUCCCAUACAGACCCCAUAGGGUCACACAGAUCCCAUACAGACCCCACAGACCCCAUAGGGACACACAGAUCCCAUACAGACCCCACAGACCCCAUACAGACCCCAUAGGGUCACACAGACCCCACAGACCCCAUACAGACCCCAUAGGGACACACAGACCCCACACAAACCCCAUAGGGUCCCACAGACCCCAUACAGACCCCAUACAGACCCCAUAGGGACACAGAGAUCCCAUACAGACCCCAUACAGACCCCAUAGGGUCGCACAGACCCCACACAGACCCCAUACAGACCCCAUACAGACCCCACAGACCCCAUACAGACCCCAUACAGACCCCAUAGGGUCACACAGACCCCAUACAGACCCCAUAGGGUCCCACAGACCCCAUACAGACCCCACAGACCCCAUACAGACCCCAUAGGGUCCCACAGACCCCAUACAGACCCCAUACAGACCCCAUAGGGUCACACAGACCCCAUACAGACCCCACAGACCCCAUACAGACCCCA
rnacentral:lncRNA from 1 species